rnacentral:rRNA from 1 species
GUCUAUGGCCACACCACCCUGAAUGAGCCUAAUCUCAUCUGAUCUCGGAGGCUAAGCAGGAUAGGGCCUGUUUAGUACUUGGAUGGGAGAAUAAUAGGGAUGUAUUUAUGCAGUGGUUA